GGCGCCGUAGCCAAGUGGUUAGGCAGCGGAUUGCAAAUCCGUCGACAGCGGUUCGAAUCCGCUCGGCGCCUCCA
rnacentral:tRNA from 1 species